rnacentral:lncRNA from 1 species
AAUAAUAAGGAGAGGACAUGAUACCAUCUCUAAUAUGUAGACGUUUAAUUUCAUUCCCCUCUUCUUUCCCUUUCUCAUAUCUACAUUUUGUGUAUCGUAUUAAAAUAACAACAACCCUGUUGUCACGGCUUCUUUUUUCUAAAGACAAAAACUGUGGAAUUAAAGGAACUUAACCAUUUUUAUAAGUGGGGAAAAAUCGUAUUUGUAAAAAAAAAAAAAAGAAAGAAAGGAAAAGAAAAGAAAAAACAAAUAUACCAUUCUUUAGCUUAUGUUAUAUUUUUCUGGGAGGGAAGCAUCACAACAUAUAUAUGUACCUAAAGAAUAUAUGCCUGCUGAUAGAAAGGGGACAUUUUUUCUCCACAUCUUCCCACAGAGAGGAGGUGGUCCUGGGAUGCCAGAGAGGGAUCAUCCUGGCAGAAAUACAAACUUUGCUGUCCCUAGAGUAGACCCACUGACAUCAAUAGGAUUUCGUUGACUUACCGAGUUAGAAAAUGUUACCCUAUAUAUAUAUAUAUAUAUUUGGACUACAGCUCCCAGAAUUCCCCAGGCAGUUAGGUCUGUGGGUUAUGGGAGUUGUAGUCCCAAGAGUUCCCCUAGCUUUGGUUAGGUAUGACUGGUCCCAUUUAUUUUAGCAAGUCUACUCUGGGAAGAUCCAAACUGGUAACCCCAACUCUAGAAGAGCCAUUGAGUCCGUGGCUGAUGAUUGACUCGAUACUCUUGUCCACCCCAUUGGCUGGAAGGUAACAAGAGUUACGCAGGCUUGGAAUAGAUGUCAGUUAUGAAUUGCUGCCAUUCAAGCAGCCAAUGUAGACAUUUGCGCUUUCCUCCUGACAGUCACAGUACUGGCAUGCGAGAACGUUUGAGUGGUGCCCUCGUCCUUCUUUUUUUCUAUGAAAUGAAACAAAAACCUUCCCGUCGGUUCCCAUUUCGUUCAUCCGAUCCAUUGCAUGGGAGGAAGAUGGAAUCAUGGCUUGACGAGUUGCAUGAUCUUGGGAUGUUGUGUUUCUGCUUGUUGUCGGCCUCUGCUACGGAUCUGUACAAAGCCGACCCGGUUCGACGCGAGCUGUUUCCUGCUGCUUUGUACCAAGGAGAUGUUUAUUAUUUGUUGUAUACAACCAUGGACUGAAUAAACUAGUUUAUAUGACAAUGUACUCCUUUUUUUAGAAGGGAAAAAAAACACCCUAAGACACUUAGCAACUGCUUGUGGAUUUGUUCAGAAUGGGUCAUAUCUGUGUCCUCAACUUGAAUGGAGAAACCAGGAGGCACACAGUGAGCCUUCUGUGUAGAUCGGUGCUUCCUCGACUUGGGUCCCCAGAUACAGCUGUGCCCCGCUUUACGAU